rnacentral:misc_RNA from 1 species
GAUCAUUACAGUUGGGGCCCCGCCCCGAUCAAGAUACCACCCCUUGCAUUUUGAGUACCUCUGUUUCCUCGGCGGGCACGCCCGCCAAUGGGGACCACAAAGAAACCUCUUGCAGUUGCAGUAAACGUCAAAAACAAAACAAAAAUCAAAACUUUCAACAACGGAUCUCUUGGUUCUGGCAUCGAUGAAGAACGCAGCGAAAUGCGAUAAGUAGUGUGAAUUGCAGAAUUCAGUGAAUCAUCGAAUCUUUGAACGCACAUUGCGCCCUUUGGUAUUCCUUAGGGCAUGCCUGUUCGAGCGUCAUCUAAAACCCUCAAGCUCCGCUUGGUGUUGGGCGCCUUGUCCCGCCCCCCUCGGGGGUGCGCGGACUCGCCUCAAAAGUAUUGGCGGCCCGCGUGAACCGGCUUCGAGCGCAGCAGACCAGCGCCUCGCAAGACCCCCCCGCGCGGGCGUCCACGAAGACACCCCCCAAAGUUUGACCUCGGAUCAGGUAGGGAUACCCGCUGAACUUAAGCAUAUCAAUAAGCGGAGGAAAAGAAACCAACAGGGAUUGCCCUAGUAACGGCGAGUGAAGCGGCAAGAGCUCAAAUUUGAAAUCUGGCCCUCUCAGGGUCCGAGUUGUAAUUUGUAGAGGGCGCUUUGGCGUUGGCCCCGGCCUAAGUUCCUUGGAACAGGACGUCACAGAGGGUGAGAACCCCGUACGUGGCCGCCGGCCUCCGCCGUGUAAAGCCCCUUCGACGAGUCGAGUUGUUUGGGAAUGCAGCUCUAAAUGGGAGGUAAAUUUCUUCUAAAGCUAAAUACUGGCCAGAGACCGAUAGCGCACAAGUAGAGUGAUCGAAAGAUGAAAAGCACUUUGGAAAGAGAGUCAAAAAGCACGUGAAAUUGUUGAAAGGGAAGCGCUUGCAGCCAGACUUGCCUGUAGUUGUUCAUCCGUGCCACUGGCACGGUGCACUCUUCUGCGGGCAGGCCAGCAUCAGUCCGGGCGGUCGGAUAAAGGCCUCGGGAAUGUAGCUCCCCUCGGGGAGUGUUAUAGCCCGGGGUGCCAUGCGACCAGCCUGGA